UACAGAGGGUGCGAGCGUUGUCCGGAAUCACUGGGCGUAAAGGGCGCGUAGGUGGCGACCCAAGUCUGUGGUGAAAGCUCGACGCUCAACGUCGAGUCGGCCAUAGAUACUGGGUUGCUUGAGCACUGUAGAGGCAGAUGGAAUUCCGGGUGUAGCGGUGGAAUGCGCAGAUAUCAGGAGGAACACCAAUAGCGAAGGCAGCUCGCUGGGACGUUACUGACACUGAGGCGCGAAAGCGUGGGGAGCGAACAGG
rnacentral:rRNA from 1 species